ACAAAGAAUACUCAAACAUCACACAGGGUAACAACAACAACAACAACAACAAAAAAAAAAAACCAAAAAACAAAAAAACCCAAACUCUACAACUCCACAGCAGCAGUGGAAGUUCACUAGAAGAGCAGCUAAAAAAAAAAUCAAGAUUGAAUUAAAUAUAGCAAACAAACCAAAAUGGCAGGAAAUCCAAAAUGGCAGCAUUUAUCCAUGAUAAGAUUCAAUAUAAAUGUCUCAACUCCCCAAUUAAAAGACAUAGGCUGGCAGAACAGAUUAGGAAACAAUAUCCAGCUCUCUGCUGUUUAUAAGAGACUCAUUUCAUAGGCAAAGACACCCAUAGGCUGAAAGUAAAAGGGUGGAGAAAAUAUCCCAUGUGAAUGGAGUCCAGAACCAAGCAGAAACAGCUGUUCUCGUAUCUGACAAAUAGGUUUCAAGCAAAAACUAAUCAGAAGAGAGAAACAAGGCCACUGCAUACUGGUAAAGGGAAUAGAAGAAUCUAACAAGAAGAUAAAAUGAUAAUAAAUUAUCAUAUAAUAAAUACAUGCCCCAAAUGUUAGUGUACCUAAUUACAUAAAAUAUACUUCCUGACAUUAAAUACCAGGUAGACUCCUAUAUAACAAUAGUUUAACACACCCUACCACCAAUAAAUAGAUCAUCCAAGCAUAAAAUCAAGAUAUUUGUGACCUAAAUAACACUAUAAAUCAAAUGGACCUGACAUCUAUAGCAUAUUUCACCCCAAAACAGCUGAAUUUGCUAUCUUCUCAGCAACUCAUGAAACCUUUUCCAAAAUAGACCAUAUUCUAGGUCACAGUGGAAGUGUUGGACAAUAUUAAAAAAAAUUGUUAGAAUCCUGUAUAUCCUAUCAGAUUAUAAUGGAAAGAAACUAGAAUUAAAAGCAAGAAAAAUAAUAGAAACCACAUAAACACAUGGAGAUCACAUAAACACAUGAAGAUUGAAGAAUAUUCUUUUAAACGAGGAAUGGAUCAUAAAAGAAAGGAGAAGUCAAGAAAUUCUUAGAAACAAAUGAGACAGAAGUACAACAUGUCAAGAUCUCUGGGAUAGCAUGAAUGCAGUUCUAAGUAUAUAGCAUUGAGUGCCUACAUUCAAAACAGAGUGAUCAUCCCAAAUAAAUAAUCUAAUGCUUCACCUUAAGGACUUGGAAAAGGAAGCACAAACAAAUGCCAAAAUUAGUCAAAGACAGGAAAUAAUUAAGAUUGGACCCUAAUUUAAUGAAGUUGAGAAUAAAAGAGCAAUGUAAGGAUCAAAUCAACAGAAUUGAUUCUUUUAGAAGAUAGAUAUAAUUGAUAAACCCUCAAACAAACUAACCAAAAGAGAGAGAGAGAAGACCAAAUAAACAAAAUUAAAGAUGAAAAAAUGUCACCACAGACACUUCUAAAAUCUGAACAAUUAUUAGAAACCACUUUGAAAACUUCUAUGCCAAUAAACAGGAAAGUCUAGAAGACAUUGGCAAAUUUCCAGACAUGUAUGACUGGCCCAAAUUGAACCAGGAAGAUAUAGAAAAGCUAAACAGACCAAUAUCAAUGGAUGAAAUUGAAACAGCAAUUAAAAGCUUGCCAACAAAGAAAAGCCCAGGACCAGAUGACUUCUCAGCUGAAUUCUGCCAGACCUUUAAAGAAGAACUAUCACUGGUCUUUCUCAAAUUAUUCCAUGAAAUUGUAAGGAAGGGAAUACAUUC
rnacentral:lncRNA from 1 species